GACGAACGCUGGCGGCGUGCUUAACACAUGCCAGUCGAACGGAAAGGCCCUGCUUGCAGGGUACUCGAGUGGCGAACGGGUGAGUAACACGUGGGUGAUCUGCCCUGCACUUCGGGAUAAGCUUGGGAAACUGGGUCUAAUACCGGAUAGGACCGCACUUUAGUGUGUGUGGUGGAAAGUUUUUUCGGUGUAGGAUGAGCUCGCGGCCUAUCAGCUUGUUGGUGGGGUAAUGGCCUACCAAGGCGGCGACGGGUAGCCGGCCUGAGAGGGUGUACGGCCACAUUGGGACUGAGAUACGGCCCAGACUCCUACGGGAGGCAGCAGUGGGGAAUAUUGCACAAUGGGCGCAAGCCUGAUGCAGCGACGCCGCGUGGGGGAUGAAGGCCUUCGGGUUGUAAACUCCUUUCGCUAGGGACGAAGCUUUUUGUGACGGUACCUAGAUAAGAAGCACCGGCUAACUACGU
rnacentral:rRNA from 1 species